UACGUAGGGUGCGAGCGUUAAUCGGAAUUACUGGGCGUAAAGCGUGCGCAGGCGGUUUUGUAAGUCAGAUGUGAAAUCCCCGGGCUCAACCUGGGAACUGCGUUUGAAACUACAAGGCUAGAGUGUAGCAGAGGGGGGUAGAAUUCCACGUGUAGCAGUGAAAUGCGUAGAGAUGUGGAGGAAUACCAAUGGCGAAGGCAGCCCCCUGGGUUAACACUGACGCUCAUGCCACGAAAGCGUGGGGAGCAAACAGG
rnacentral:rRNA from 1 species